GGUGCUAUAGUGUAGCGGUCUUCACUCGGGACUCUGAUUCUGUGCUUGUAUUUGGACGAUUCCCGAAACCCAGGUUCGAAUCCUCGAGUAGAGUUUCU